GGAAACGACUGCUAAUACCCAAUGUGCCGAGAGGUGAAACAUUUAUGGCCUGAAGAUGAGCUCGCGCCUGAUUAGCUAGUUGGUGGGGUAAGAGCCUACCAAGGCAACGAUCAGUAGCUGGUCUGAGAGGAUGAGCAGCCACACUGGGACUGAGACACGGCCCAGACUCCUACGGGAGGCAGCAGUGGGGAAUUUUCCGCAAUGGGCGAAAGCCUGACGGAGCAAUACCGCGUGAGGGAGGAAGGUCUUUGGAUUGUAAACCUCUUUUCUUAGGGAAGAAGCUCUGACGGUACCUAAGGAAUAAGCAUCGGCUAACUCCGUGCCAGCAGCCGCGGUAAUACGGAGGAUGCAAGCGUUAUCCGGAAUUAUUGGGCGUAAAGCGUCCGUAGGUGGUUUUGCAAGUCUGCUGUUAAAGCAUGGAGCUUAACUCCAUAAAGGCGGUGGAAACUGUGAGACUAGAGUUCGGUAGGGGUAGCGGGAAUUCCCAGUGUAGCGGUGAAAUGCGUAGAUAUUGGGAAGAACAUCGGUGGCGAAAGCGCGCUACUGGGCCGAAACUGACACUGAGGGACGAAAGCUAGGGUAGCGAAAGGGAUUAGAUACCC
rnacentral:rRNA from 1 species